rnacentral:rRNA from 1 species
AGUGAACGCUGGCGGUAGGCCUAACACAUGCAAGUCGAACGGCAGCACAGGAGAGCUUGCUCUCUGGGUGGCGAGUGGCGGACGGGUGAGGAAUACAUCGGAAUCUGCCCAGUCGUGGGGGAUAACGUAGGGAAACUUACGCUAAUACCGCAUACGACCUUCGGGUGAAAGAGGGGGAUCGCAAGACCUCUCGCGAUUGGAUGAGCCGAUGUCGGAUUAGCUGGUUGGCGGGGUAAUGGCCCACCAAGGCGACGAUCCGUAGCUGGUCUGAGAGGAUGAUCAGCCACACUGGAACUGAGACACGGUCCAGACUCCUACGGGAGGCAGCAGUGGGGAAUAUUGGACAAUGGGCGCAAGCCUGAUCCAGCCAUACCGCGUGGGUGAAGAAGGCCUUCGGGUUGUAAAGCCCUUUUGUUGGGAAAGAAAUCUUUCAGGCUAAUACCCUGGGAGGAUGACGGUACCCAAAGAAUAAGCACCGGCUAACUUCGUG